rnacentral:rRNA from 1 species
CCUACGGGCGGCAGCAGUGGGGGAUAUUGCACAAUGAGGGGAACCCUGAUGCAGCGAAGCCGCGUGGGUGAAGACGCGCCUCGGCGCGUAAAGCCAUGUCAGCAGGGAAGAAAAUGACGGUACCUGAAGAAGAAGCUCCGGCUAACGACGUGCCAGCAGCCGCGGUACUACGUAGGGGGCAAGCGUUAUCCGGAUUUACUGGGUGUAAAGGGGGCGCAGGCGGCGAUGCAAGCCAGGAGUGAAAGCCCGGGGCCCAACCUCGGGACUGCUCUUGGAACUGGGUGGCUGGAGUGCAGGAGGGGCAGGCGGAACUCGUGGUGUAGCGGUGAAAUGCGUAGAUAUCAGGAGGAACACCGGUGGCGAAGGCGGCCUGCUGGACUGCAACUGACGUUGAGGCCCGAAAGCGUGGGGAUCAAACAGGAUUAGAUACCCCGGUAGUC